CUCGCAAGUGUGCAAAUUCUGGAAAAUUACUGCACAGGAUACAUUGAUGGAACGGUGGAGCAAAUGGAAGAACUUCUUGAACAGUUUCAGGUAAUUGAUUCUAUCUCGUUUGUGAAAGCUGACAACCACUCAAAAACAAGGGGCAAUAAACGUUUUUCACUUACAGCACCGCCAGUGUUUGAAAGCAAGAAGGGAAAUAUUCCAAUUGAGUUUUU